AAAAUUUAAAAAGGGUUUUUGAACUGAGUGCAAAAUCGUAAUUUUAAGCCAGGGGCAAAAAUAUAAAUUUAUUUUAAACUGGGGGCAAAAACGUAACUUUAACAAAGGACGAAACCGUAAUUUUAAAGUGUGAGUAAAAUUAAUUUAAAAAUUGGUUGGUCCAAUAGGGAAGUGCCAGGCAAGCUGCCUGGCAGUAUUCCCUCAACUUGAUGUAUAUGUAGUAAACUAGGUGAUGCCCCGCCCACGUUGCGGGGCGAUGGCCGAAUAAUUCUCAACCAAUUAAAAAAACGGUACUAUUGUUUUGCUAGAAAUAAAAAGUAAAAAGAGUGUUAGGCAGCUCUUUGACACAAUUUUUAGCUGGAGGCAAAGUCAUAUUUUUAUUUUUACUUGGGGGAAAAUCAAUAUUUUUCUCGAGGGUAAAAUCCUCAUUUUUAGCUAGGGGAAACCAUAUUUUUAUUUUGCAUUGGGGUAAAAACGUAAUGUUGGAUUGAGGGUGAUAUUGUAAUUUUGAACCGAGGGGAAAUUCGUAAAUUUUAGCUGGGGGCAAAAGCGUAAAUUUAUUUUGAACUAUGAGCAAAUACGUAAUUUUAAACUGUGUGCAAAACCGUAAUUUUAAAGUAGGUAAAAAAUAAUAAUUGGGGUAAAUUCGUAAUUUUGAGCCGGGGGAAAAACAAAAUUUUAUUUUGAACUCGGGCGAAAACGUAAUUUUGGGUGAGGGUAAAAGCAUAAAUUUUUACCGAGGGCGACUUAUUUUUUAGCUCGGGGCAAAAAGGUAAACAUAUUUUAAAGUUGAGGCAAAAACCGUAUUUUUUAACUGGGAGCAAAAACGUAACUUUAAAAUGGAUAUAAAAUAAUAAACUGGUUGGUCAAAUGAGUAUUGCUCCCGCCGCCCAUUUGAACUAGUGGCAGGGUGAUACUUCCCGCCCGCGUUGCGAGGCGAUAGCCGAAUAGUUCUCAAUCAAUUAAAAAAACACUACUAUAAUUUUGCUAGGAAAAACUUUAAUUUUUCAGGACUAAUGAGCGAGUUUUAGGCAGCUCCUUUAGACAAUAAAAAAAUUAAUUCGAGUCAACCAAUUAAAAUAAAAAACUUUUAUAGUUUUGCUAGAAAAAUUAAAACGAUGGGAAAACGUAACUUUGAACUGAGGGAGAAAUCAUAAUUUUAUUUCAGGGAUAAAAUCGUAAAUUAAAUGGACCAAUGGGGUUGAGGGCAAAUCAUAACUUAGAUGUGUGAGAAAAAAACUAAUGGCAAAACUAUAAAUGUAAACGUGGCAAAAUCAUAAUUUUGAUCCAAGGGCAAAAUUGAAAUUUUUAGGUUGGAGCAAAAGCGUAAAUUUAUUUUUAAAUGAGGAAAAAACCUAAUGGGAAAACUGUAAAUUUAAACGUGGAAAAAUCGUAAUGUUGAACCGAGGGCAAAGUUGAAAAUUUUUAGCUGGGAGCAAAAACGUAAAUUUAUUUUUUAGUGAGGGUAAAAGCAUAAUUUUGAACUGGUGGCAAAAGCGUAAUUUUAAAACGUGAUAAAAUCGUAAAUUUGUUGAGUCAAUAAAGAAGUGUCAUGCAUGAGUAUAAAUAUAAACAGGAAAAAAAAUCGUAAUUU
rnacentral:lncRNA from 1 species